AGAGUUUUGAUCAUGGCUCAGGACGAACGCUGGCGGCGUGCCUAAUACAUGCAAGUCGAGCGGACAGAUGGGAGCUUGCUCCCUGAUGUUAGCGGCGGACGGGUGAGUAACACGUGGGUAACCUGCCUGUAAGACUGGGAUAACUCCGGGAAACCGGGGCUAAUACCGGAUGGUUGUUUGAACCGCAUGGUUCAAACAUAAAAGGUGGCUUCGGCUACCACUUACAGAUGGACCCGCGGCGCAUUAGCUAGUUGGUGAGGUAACGGCUCACCAAGGCAACGAUGCGUAGCCGACCUGAGAGGGUGAUCGGCCACACUGGGACUGAGACACGGCCCAGACUCCUACGGGAGGCAGCAGUAGGGAAUCUUCCGCAAUGGACGAAAGUCUGACGGAGCAACGCCGCGUGAGUGAUGAAGGUUUUCGGAUCGUAAAGCUCUGUUGUUAGGGAAGAACAAGUACCGUUCGAAUAGGGCGAAACCAAGACGGUACCUAACCAGAAAGCCACGGCUAACUACGUGCCAGCAGCCGCGGUAAUACGUAGGUGGCAAGCGUUGUCCGGAAUUAUUGGGCGUAAAGGGCUCGCAGGCGGUUUCUUAAGUCUGAUGUGAAAGCCCCCGGCUCAACCGGGGAGGGUCAUUGGAAACUGGGGAACUUGAGUGCAGAAGAGGAGAGUGGAAUUCCACGUGUAGCGGUGAAAUGCGUAGAGAUGUGGAGAAACACCAGUGGCGAAGGCGACUCUCUGGUCUGUAACUGACGCUGAGGAGCGAAAGCGUGGGGAGCGAACAGGAUU
rnacentral:rRNA from 1 species